GGUGGCUCAAUGGUAGAGUGCUUGCCUUGCAUGCAUGAGGCCCUGAGUUAAGAUUCCUCAGCACCA
rnacentral:tRNA from 1 species